GUGAAAAUAAUGAUAUCAACUUAAGAGCAAGUGCUGUCCAAUGCUCGUGCCAGAAGACUCGGUAACGCGAGUAGCGCGAACGUUAGUCGUCUUAUACAGGCGUAAAGGGUGUGUAGGCAGCUUUAAAAGCUAGAAUCAUAUAUGGGAUAAUGUAAAUAAUACUUGGUUUAGGGCCGAUAUCCUCACAAAUUGAGUGGAAUACUAAUAGGUGAAAGCUUUUUAUCUACAAAUGAUUGACGCUGAGAAACGAAGGUGGGAAAAGAAAAUAGGAUUCGAUACCCAGAUAUCUCCCACUGUCAACGAUGAAUGGUGGCUGUUAAUCUUUGGUGGCGAUGUUAACGCGAUAACCAUUCCGCCUUGCGAGUACGGUUGCAAAACUGAAAUCAAAAAAAUUAGUCGG
rnacentral:rRNA from 1 species